CUCCUACGGGAGGCAGCAGUGGGGAAUAUUGCACAAUGGGGGGAACCCUGAUGCAGCAAUGCCGCGUGGGUGAAGAAGCACUCCGGUGCGUAAAGCCCUGUCAGCAGGGAAGAAAAUGACAGUACCUGACUAAGAAGCCCCGGCUAACUACGUGCCAGCAGCCGCGGUAAUACGUAGGGGGCAAGCGUUAUCCGGAUUUACUGGGUGUAAAGGGAGCGUAGACGGCAGGGCAAGUCUGAAGUGAAAGCCCGGGGCCCAACCCCGGGACUGCUUUGGAAACUGUCCGGCUGGAGUGCAGGAGGGGG
rnacentral:rRNA from 1 species